rnacentral:precursor_RNA from 1 species
CCCAACAUUUCGACUCGAUUCAUCUUUCAAAUUUCCACACGUUCUUUAGUUUUAUGAUUCGAAUAUAUGAUUAUUGGUCCCAUUAUGAAAAUUCUCAUUGAAAAAGGAAGAACUGGAGACCCUUAGCACUGAUAUAUAAAUAGGUAUGAAGUUAUUGUUGUUUAUAUCAGGACAGAGCUACAAGAAGAGAGUCAAAUGUCCCCAUGAGUUCCCUUUAACGCUUCAUUGUUAAAUACUCAAAGCCACAUUGGUUUGUAUACAACACUGAAGUGUUUGGGGGGACUCUUGGUGUCAUUCUGGCGUAGUGACCACCAUUGCAGCCGUUUUAUGGGUUCUUUUACAUUAGUAAGCUCUUCGUACUAUAGAUAUAUUUUUUUCAAUAACAAGUAAUAUGUGAGACGAAUUCAAAGUGGUGAUACAAAUACAAUGAUGACACUAGCUAAUGUAAACCACUAAACUAUAGGUCUUGGUCAGA